UACGGAGGAUGCAAGCGUUAUCCGGAAUGAUUGGGCGUAAAGCGUCCGCAGGUGGCUGUGUAAGUCUGCUGUCAAAGAGCAAAGCUCAACUUUGUAAAGGCAGUGGAAACUACACGGCUAGAGUGCGUUCGGGGCAGAGGGAAUUCCUGGUGUAGCGGUGAAAUGCGUAGAUAUCGAGAGGAACACCUGCGGCGAAGGCGGGUUGCUGGGCCGACACUGACGCUGAUGCGCGAAAGCCAGGGGAGCGAACGGG
rnacentral:rRNA from 1 species